rnacentral:rRNA from 1 species
CUAGGAAUCUGCCUGGUAGUGGGGGACAACGUUUCGAAAGGAACGCUAAUACCGCAUACGUCCUACGGGAGAAAGCAGGGGACCUUCGGGCCUUGCGCUAUCAGAUGAGCCUAGGUCGGAUUAGCUAGUUGGUGAGGUAAUGGCUCACCAAGGCGACGAUCCGUAACUGGUCUGAGAGGAUGAUCAGUCACACUGGAACUGAGACACGGUCCAGACUCCUACGGGAGGCAGCAGGC